UGGCUCAGAUUGAACGCUGGCGGAAUGCUUUACACAUGCAAGUCGAACGGCAGCACGGGGGCGAACCCUGGUGGCGAGUGGCGAACGGGUGAGUAAUACAUCGGAACGUGCCCAGUCGUGGGGGAUAACGUAGCGAAAGCUACGCUAAUACCGCAUACGAUCUACGGAUGAAAGCGGGGGAUCGCAAGACCUCGCGCGAUUGGAGCGGCCGAUGGCAGAUUAGGUAGUUGGUGGGGUAAAGGCUCACCAAGCCUUCGAUCUGUAGCUGGUCUGAGAGGACGACCAGCCACACUGGGACUGAGACACGGCCCAGACUCCUACGGGAGGCAGCAGUGGGGAAUUUUGGACAAUGGGCGAAAGCCUGAUCCAGCCAUUCCGCGUGCAGGAUGAAGGCCCUCGGGUUGUAAACUGCUUUUGUACGGAACGAAACGGCCUUUUCUAAUACAGAGGGCUAAUGACGGUACCGUAAGAAUAAGACACCGGCUAACUACGUG
rnacentral:rRNA from 1 species